UACGUAGGGUGCAAGCGUUAAUCGGAAUUACUGGGCGUAAAGCGUGCGCAGGCGGUUUCGUAAGACAGAUGUGAAAUCCCCGGGCUUAACCUGGGAAUGGCAUUUGGGACUGCAAGGCUGGAGUGUGGCAGAGGAGACUGGAAUUCCCGGUGUAGCAGUGAAAUGCGUAGAUAUCGGGAGGAAUACCGAUGGCGAAGGCAGGUCUCUGGGCUGACACUGACGCUCAUGCACGAAGGCGUGGGGAGCAAACAGG
rnacentral:rRNA from 1 species